AUGGAUCAACACCGCCAAUUCAAAGCCCGCCACAGGAAAACUACAUCUACAUUCGGAAGAAGAAAUCAAAAUAGACAAGAGGGAUCCACCGCUAAAUUUACAUGUGCAACAAAAAACACCACACACGACAAAUGCAAGCAGACGAAUACAACAAGACAAUCAACCAGAUCUAGCAAAUCGCACAGAAAAAUGAAAGGGAAAAUGAAAAAGGGGGGAGGGGGUGCUUGCAAACCAACAACCUCAGGUAGGGGACGGGGGGAGAGACGCAGGGCUUGCGGACCACCACGAAAGAAGGAGCGUCACGAAUCAAACGACCCGAGAAGAAACCGCAGCCAAAUCGCCAUGGCGUCGACUUGGCCUCUCCCGCUCUCCCUGACAAGAACAAAGGUGAAUCAAAUCAGAGCGCGAGCUUGGAGAUAA
rnacentral:rRNA from 1 species